GUCUAACACAAAAAACAAAAGACACCUGCGUGCACAUGUAUAUUUGUAUUUGAGAUAAAUUUUUAAAUAUGAAGCAACUUGAGAUAGUAGUAAUCUUAACUUCUUAAGAGGAUCAAGACUUCCAUCAUAAUUUUAAAAGUUGUCCGAAGAGUUGGUUUGCUUUCAUCCACGUCUAACUUGAUCCGGGUUCUAGUUGCCCUUCGCCGUUCGUUCCACUUUUUAAACUGUGAGAAAGCCAGCAGGAAGGUGGGAGUAUUAAUUACUAGGAAACCUCUGCAUUACAAAGGAUGCUUAUUUCACCUCACAAUUAAAGGAUUUGUAGCAAAGGUAUAUUGUUAUUUACAGAAUUAAUUUGUCAAGUUUAUUAACCUAUUCAAAUCAAUUCAAUCAAUUAAAAAUUCAUAGUUAAACAAACAAACGUUCAAGAAUAACUUUAUGAAAACAAAGUUUGUAAGUGAAGAGAACUACGACAUUAAACAUUACAAGAAAAACAAUAUUUUUUGUUUAAGUUUAUUUCUUCAUAUUAUUAUAUUUUUAUUUAAUUUUAGUAUUUCUAUUCAGGUACUUAGUUAUGUUAAAAAUAUAUCGAAUAUGAUUCUUAGGACCGCGAGUGCUCUGUAAAUGGUAGUUAUUUGUUUGGCUCUCCGAAAUAAUUUUUCAAUCCAAAUUUAUUUUUCUUAGCCAAAUACUCCAUUGUUUUAAUUUUAGUUUUCAGAACUAGGACGAAUAGUUAUAGUAGAUGAAGGACUUGAAGGAAAUUUGAUGUUGAACAAUCUUCCUCCAAUAAUUAUCUUUGAAAUUUACUUCAAUGUUGAUUCGAUUAUAUUGAUCAAUUUUUAUGCCCUUAAAAAUUAUAUUAUUUUUAUAAGAAAAUUAUUCUGUAUUGGAUAAAAUUGGAAUAUCUGAC